rnacentral:rRNA from 1 species
GACGAACGCUGGCGGCGUGCUUAACACAUGCAAGUCGAACGGAGUGGCGAACGGGUGAGUAACACGCGGGUGAUCUGCCUUGCACUUCGGGAUAAGCUUGGGAAACUGGGUCUAAUACCGGAUAGUGCAAGAUGAGCUCGCGGCCUAUCAGCUUGUUGGUGGGGUAAUUGCCUACCAAGGCGUCGACGGGUCGCCGGCCUGAGAGGGUGUACGGCCCCAGUGGGACUGGGAUACGGCCCAGACUCAUACGGGAGGCAGCGGUGGGGAAUAGUGCAAGAUGGGCGGAGGGAUGAUGCAGGGCCGCCGGGUGGGGGAUGAAGGCUUUCGGGUUGUAAACUCCUUUCGACAGGGACGCGGUACCGGAAUAAGAAGCACCGGCUAACUACGUGCCAGCAGCCGCGGUAAUAC